rnacentral:lncRNA from 1 species
CCAGCCCUAGGACCCCUUAAUUUCAAAACUCUACUUCAUUCUAUCAAAAUUCCGGUGGAAAAAUUGGACGAAAUGAAGUCACGAUGAUCCCUUAAUUGCAAUAAUUAAUAAACUACAAACAUAAAAUUGCGAAAAUCAAAAUUACUGUUGUAAAGAAGAAUAAGAAUAGGUGAAGCCCACAUAGCCAACUAACACCCACCAAACCUAACCACACACCCACCAAACCAAACCACUACCCAAUUGAUUGAAGAAUAUUAAUGAUGUUGUUGAUUGAAGAAUAUUAAUGAUGUUGUCUACCAAUUAUUUUGUGAGGUGAACGACCAAUGUCUUAGGCCUAUAAAUAGAUACCUCCAUCAAGAGAAGUUUACACAUAUAGAAGAGGAAGAGAAGGAAGAAUGAGAGUGAGUGAGUUGAGAGGAAAGAGAGCAAGAGAGAAAUUCUUCAAGAGAGAAAAUUGAGUGAGCCAUACAUAUUGUAAACACAAAGUUGUAGCCCUAUUAUUUUACAUAGUGGAAAAAUUACUGCUGCUGCUCUCCGGGGAUGUAGGCAUAGCCGAACCUCGUUAAAUACUGUGUCUCAUCUACUUUACGUGCAGCUGAAUAUUCGCACAUAUACCAGUUCAUUUUAUAACACGUUAUCAGCACGAGAAGCUCUCAGGUAUAAUUUUUGUGUUGCACUAUUAUCUAUACUACUAACCCUUAUGUUGAUGUAAGGAAGAAAAGUAGUGGAGGAGUUGUGGUAUGCAAGAGAGAUAUACGAGCAAACCAACUGUAAGGAUAAGCUCUAUGCCUCUUACUUUUUCUAUUAUUUUAUUAUUUCUCUACACAGCAAGUUCAACUUAAUUGCAAGUGAAAAGAAGAAAAGCCAACAUGAUAUGUCUAGCUUUCCACUAAUAUAUUAGUAUAAUAAUAUCAUAUUAUUUGAUUGUGGUGUUGAUAUGAAUGCACAAAUAAUUAUCUUUACUUUAUCCUUAUAUAUGGUAAUUAUAUGGACAGUUUCACCUUCUAUAUUUUUUGUGGUGGUUUUUAUCCCCAUAUUUAUUUUAUUUACUGUAUGGUGUAGGAUUAUUACCCAUACAACAGUAUUUAUUUAAAAGGGUGGUGCGGGUUUAUCGUCAACGCCUUUACUUUUAUUUAAAUGUAUGGAGCAGAAUUAGUGCCCAUACAAACACAUUUAAUUUUAUUUAAGGUAUGGUGCGGGAUUAACGUCCAUACAGCAAACAAUUUAAUUUAUGAAUUUAUUUUAUCGCACAUUUACAUUUAUUUAAAGUAUGAUGCGGGUUUAUCAUCCAUACAACAGUAUUUAUUUAAAAGGGUGGUGCGGGUUUAUCGUCCACGCCUUUACUUUUAUUUAAAUGUAUGGAGUAGAAUUAGUGCCCAUACAAGCACAUUUACUUUACCGCACAUUUAAUUUUAUUUAAGGUAUGGUGCGGAAUUAACGUCCAUACAGCAAGCAAUUUAAUUUAUGAAUUUAUUUUACCGCACAUGUACAUCUAUUUAAAGUAUGGUGCGGGUUUAUCGUCCAUACCAGUAAUUUAUUUUAUGGAUUAAUUGUGCUGUAUGAUGAGUUUUUACAGUAUGCAGAUCAGGACCAGAAGUUCCUUGAUCCUCAUCAUACAAUUACAUCAGGACUUGAAGAUCCUUGAUGAUGAUGUUAAUAUGAGAGCUGGCAGUCUCUCCGGUACUAUAUUUGUAAACAUGUGAUUGGACUUGAGGGUCCUUGAUCCCUGACAUGUAAAUAAGGACCUGGGGUCCCUUAAUGAUGUAACAGUACCGUAUUGGUUCAUAAUGCCGUACACAUGGAUGAUAACUGUACUGGCAAAUGUACUGUACACAUGAAUAGAUACGUAUUCAUGACUUGAUGAAUAGUACCGGAUAUAUGAAUAGUGACGUAUACAUAAAUAUUAAUCAUUUUGGGUAAACCAUCACUAUUCAAAAAGGGAACCUGCAGUUCCUUAAACUCAUGGAUGAGCAAUUAAAUGAGAUGCCAGAAGUUCCUCAAGAUAUUGACAAUUACGUAAGGGCUUGAGGUCCAGAAAUAUGUACAGAAAAUUGUAAAAAUGUCCAUACCAUGAGAACAUGUGAUUUUGGCCCGAAGUUCAAAAUCUAAGGGGAUUGAAUUUCCAUACCAUGAGAAUAUGUGAUUUUGGUCUGAAGUUCAAAAUCUAACAGUGUUGAGAACCUGAAGUUCCAACAAUUAAAUGGACAACCCUUGAGGUAUUAUUGCAAAUUGUGGUACGCCACAUAUUUCUUUGGCAUAAGAGAAUGAUGAAUUGAGGCUCCCCACAUAUUUUGUUAUAUCUGGGCCGGAAGCUCAUGAACCCAAAUAUAUGAGAUAUUAGCGUGGCUUUUACUCAAUCCAUAUUUCAUGUUCAUUUGAAAAGGGCAAAUAAAUUCUGAGUUUGUGUUUAGCACAGGCCAAAAGUUCCAUACGUUGAAAUAUGAAAUUUGGGAGAGUCGAUGUGGUUAUUUGAACCUAUAAGACAUCAUAUUUUCCAGAUAGGGCUCAACUCCAUCACCAUCAUUUUGGGAUGAUGUGAGGUAUAUUUGAUGCUAUCUCCGCAUAACACCAUGUACGGACAUAUUCUUUCAAGUGAACUUACAAAUAACCCAAGUUUUGUUAGAAACGCGGACUCUGAAAAUUCUAUGAUUUACAUAGAGAUAGCUCACUGGAAAUAUAUUUACUUACUCAACUACGAGAAUUAUUAAUGGCUAUAUCCUCCACUCACUCCGAAAGAUUCUCACUCCAAAAGAUAGUCAUGAAGACAUCAUGGGGAGAUAUUAAUCAGGGGGAGCAUCCAGAAGUAUGCUAUACAGAUUGCUGUACUCUUUUUUUUCUUCAUUCCAUCAGUUUUCUACCUCACUGGGUUUUUCUCCAAGCAAGGUUUUAAUGAGGCAACCAAUCUAGGGACAUGUGGUCUCCAAGGGGGAGUGUUGUAAAGAAGAAUAAGAAUAGGUGAAGCCCACAUAGCCAACUAACACCCACCAAACCUAACCACACACCCACC